rnacentral:lncRNA from 1 species
UUAUUCAAAAUUCAAAGCACAUACACCUUAAAUACCCAUUUCUUUGUUAAAACUCUAAAUAUAUAAAAGUUAUCAAAUAAUCAUAUUUAUAUCAUAUAUAUAAAAUAAUUAAGUAAGCUUUACUACACUAAGGUGGUACCAAGGGGAGGAAUUUCCUUCUCCAAUCAAGCAGGCUAACACAAUUCUUAUGCACAAAAGUAUCAAUUUCAACCCUCAUCAUGCAUUAUCUAAACCAAUUCCACACUUUUUCAAUUUAUAUCCAUUUCAACAUAUCCACUACAACACUUGUCAAACUUAUUGUCAAGUAAAUGCUAAACCACACAAAUAAUCAAGAGAACUUCAUCACACAUGAUUUAUACAUACUUUUAUCCAAAUAAACCUAUGAGUUAAGACAUAGAAAAUUUCCAGCAUUAAUAUAAUCUUGACCUUUGCUGGGUUUUUAAGACAUAACUUAAGUUCUGUGUCUCCAAAUUGAGUGAUGUUUGAUUCAUUAGAAAGCUAAGACAAAAUGCUACAAAUGUUAUGAAGGGACCACAGCCCAGAUCAAUCUUUAAGAUGGCAAACAAAAGCUAGGAACACAGACCAACAGUCUAGACCUGAUUCAGCCGAACUAAUUUCAAUGUUUAUCAAAUUCCUACUUAUCCAGACACUCAAAUCAAACCAAUCCAAAACCAGAGAAGUCUCAAGACACAGGGAAACAACUGUUAUGAAGAACUCAGAACAUAAUAUUACCAUUAUAGUGGUCAAAAUGGGCACUCAAUUCAGUAAUGCAUGUGGCCCGUCAUAACAGAGUUAGUUUAGGUGUUUUAGCCAUAAGUUGAGCUAUAUGUAUCCAACUUGGACACAAGAGGAUGGGUUGGAAAGCUAAGAAGUAGACCUAAAACUUUCAUGAAGGACUCAGGCACCAAUGAAAAAUCAAAAGGAUCGAAAAACAGUCUUUAAUCACACCCAAUAACACUUUGUCCUAAUUUCAGCUUACUUAAAUCAUAUACAAGGUAGAGAUUUCUACCACAUACUCAAUACUCAUCAAAUAUCAUCUUAAGAUCACAAAUCCUCAAAGAAUAACAAGAAAACUUAAGGCCUUAUUGAUCAAUAGGUUCUGCCACUCUUGGAGGAUGAAGAAGAAAAUGUUUUCCUCAUCAAUUCAACAUAUAAGCAUGCUUAGAAAUCUCCCAAGAACACAUGUAUACCACCAAAAUUCAAUAAUCAAAUUAUUUCAUAUAAAAUUUCCAAUUUUCACAAAAUAGUAUAAACUUCACAAAAUCAAAAAUUUAAACAAGGUAAGAGGAUUUAUGAACACUUACCUUAAACAUAAGCUCUAACAAGCUUAAAUAAGACUCUUGAUGCCUUAGUUUUCCCUUGUCUUUGGUAGGAAGUUAUCCACCCUUUGUCCUCCAAAUUACUUGAAAUUAUUCACCAAAUAUCAUUUCUCAAGCUUUAAUCUCAAAGAUUGAUUAAUUAGAUCAAGUUGAAUGGUGUUAAAUUGGUGGAUUUAGUGAGUAUAAGUGAAGAAAACAAAGAGAAGAGAAAGAGAGGCUCAAGUUAAAAUGGAGGAGAAGAAGAAAGAAGUUCACGUUAGAUGGAUAGGAAGAGGAAGAAAAC